rnacentral:lncRNA from 1 species
GCCAAGUCUCCAGCUGGGGUGGACGUGCCCACCAGCCGCCGAAGGCCAGGACGCCAGGUCCGGUGGACGUGACAAGCAGGACGUGACAUGGUCCGGUGUGACGGCGAGGACAGAGGAGGCGCGUCCGGCCUUCCUGAACACCUUAGGCUGGUGGGGCUGCGGCAAGAAGCGGGUCUGUUUCUUUACUUCCUCCACGGAGUCGGCACACUAUGGCUGCCCUCUGGGCUCCCAGAACCCACAACAUGAAAGAAAUGGUGCUACCCAGCUCAAGCCUGGGCCUUUGAAUCCGGACACAAAACCCUCUAGCUUGGAAAUGAAUAUGCUGCACUUUACAACCACUGCACUACCCGACUCAGGAAUCGGCUCUGGAAGGUGAAGCUAGAGGAACCAGACCUCAUCAGCCCAACAUCAAAGACACCAUCGGAACAGCAGCGCCCGCAGCACCCACCCCGCACCGGCGACUCCAUCUUCAUGGCCACCCCCUGCGGCGGACGGUUGACCACCAGCCACCACAUCAUCCCAGAGCUGAGCUCCUCCAGCGGGAUGACGCCGUCCCCACCACCUCCCUCUUCUUCUUUUUCAUCCUUCUGUCUCUUUGUUUCUGAGCUUUCCUGUCUUUCCUUUUUUCUGAGAGAUUCAAAGCCUCCACGACUCUGUUUCCCCCGUCCCUUCUGAAUUUAAUUUGCACUAAGUCAUUUGCACUGGUUGGAGUUGUGGAGACGGCCUUGAGUCUUGGUGCGAGUGUGUGUGAGUGUGAGCCACCUUGGCAAGUGCCCGCCCAGGGCCCGGCCGCCCUCCAUCUGGGCCGGGUGACUGGGCGCCGGCUGUGUGCCCGAGGCCUCACCCUGCCCUCGCCUAGUCUGGAAGCUCCGACCGACAUCACGGAGCAGCCUUCAAGCAUUCCAUUACACCCAUCUCGCUCUGUGCCCCUCCCCACCAGGGCUUCAGCAGGAGCCCUGGACUCAUCAUCAAUAAACACUGUUACAGCAACU